rnacentral:rRNA from 1 species
UACGUAGGUGGUUUUGUAAGCAUGGGGUGAAAGACCGAAGCUCAACUUCGGUUAGCCUUGUGAACUGCAAGACUUGAGUGCAGGAGAGGAAAGUGGAAUUCCUAGUGUAGCGGUGAAAUGCGUAGAUAUUAGGAGGAACACCAGUGGCGAAGGCGACUUUCUGGACUGUAACUGACACUGAGGUACGAAAGCGUGGGUAGCAAACAGGAUUAGAUACCCUGGUAGUCC